CAUUUGGGUAAGGAGAAAGGGGUCUGAAAGAAGGGGGUGCUCUAAGGCAGUGGCUCUCCAAGUGGCUUGCUCACGGGAAUCACCUGAGCUGACUUAGCAUGCCUGCAGAUGGGGCUCCAGCCGCAGAAUAUUCUGCUAUCAGGCCACGGUUGUGGUUUGGCCCUGACCGUAUCACUAGGAAUAUCAGAGAAGAACUGUGAGAGCCCUCUGAGCCGUUCACAGGAGCAUUUGGGAACAGGCUCCACUGUGCCCGACCCGGAGCCACUUGGGGCCAGUGCGCAGCCCAAGCAUGAUGCUCUGAGCAGUCACUAAGAUCAGAUCGCGGCUUCAGUCUCCACGGGCAUUUCCUCCUGUCACUUUAAGGAAAGGAAAGGUUGGUGUGAGAGAAAGAAGGCAGUAGACUCAGCUGGCAUGCAGGAGGACCUGGUUUCCACCCCCAGCAGUGCUAUAUACGUCUAUACAUGUGUGGUUCUGUUCCCCCUAACAUGAAAGCCCCCUUCUGGAAAUGCUCACCCGCUCUAAUUAACCUUUCUAACUAACCUGAUCUGUGUCGUUUGAACUUCAUACAAGUUUUUAAUAUUAAUUCAGAAAGCCAUCCACAGGUGUCCACUUUCACAUUUUUUUGAGCCCCACCUGGCAGUGCUCAGGGCUGACUCCUGGCAGGGCUCAGGGGACCAUUUGGGGUCCCAUAAAUCAAACCCAGGCCAACUGCAUGCAAGGCAAGGCAAACACCCUACCUGCUGUACUAUCACUCCAGCCCCUUGUAUCUCACCGUUUAAGAUGGCAGCUGCUGCCUGGAAGUGGCUUUGCCCUAGAACCCUGGCAUGCUCGUGUCUGUCAUUUGCUUUCCUGCCUGAGUAGAUGUGUUCAUCGGCAUACCUUGUGCUUAUGGCUAAGUCCAUGUUGUCAGAGGCUGCUUUGGGAACACAAACACAGACUAUGGCCAGCUGCCUCCAGUUUGGUCCUACGUGGCUACAGAACUCGGCCGAACUCUCAGCGCUUCACAGUCCACAGUUAGCAUUACCCGAGGCUCUGAGUAUCACUCCAGUGUCUUGCAGGCAGCCUUGAGACGUUCUCAGUUCUAUUUAUGCUGUGCAGGAAAAUAUAGCCAAGGUUUGAUUCUGGUUAGUGGCUGCUAGUACCAGAUCACCUUGCUCACGAACUGGUGAGUUUCCUCAAAGCCAACAAGUCACACCUGUGUCCUGUGCGCGGGUGCUGCAGGCUUAGGUGGAGAAAAGCAGGGCUAGAAUUGGAACCCACAGCCCAGGAUGGCAGGAGAGGAUGUGGGGGCUCCACCGGAUCGCCUCUGGGUUCACCAAGAGGGCAUCUACCGAGACGAAUACCAGCGCACGUGGGUGGCCGUCGUGGAAGAGGAGACGGAUGCCCUAAGGGCACGAGUCCAGCAAGUUCAGGUGCCCUUAGGUGACGCAGCUAGGCCAAGUCACCUCCUCACUUCCCAGCUACCUCUCAUGUGGCAACUCUACCCCCACGAGCGCUACAUGGAUAACAACUCGCGCUUGUGGCAGAUCCAGCAUCACUUAAUGGUUAGGGGCGUACAGGAGCUGUUGCUUAAGCUUUUGCCUGAUGAUUAACCUGGGGCUGGGAUUCUCAGAAGAUAUGCUCCUCUGUUCUGUUCAGUAUAUGGCAACUACUUCGUCCACCACUGCAGUUCACCCACCCGUGGGCCUUUGGGAGGGAUUUUCUGGAUAUGCCGCAGAAGGAUCCG